rnacentral:rRNA from 1 species
AGUGAACGCUGGCGGUAGGCCUAACACAUGCAAGUCGAACGGCAGCACAGUAAGAGCCUGCUCUUACGGGUGGCGAGUGGCGGACGGGUGAGGAAUACAUCGGAAUCUACUUUUUCGUGGGGGAUAACGCAGGGAAACUUACGCUAAUACCGCAUACGACCUACGGGUGAAAGCAGGGGAUCUUCGGACCUUGCGCGAUUGAAUGAGCCGAUGUCGGAUUAGCUAGUUGGCGGGGUAAAGGCCCACCAAGGCGACGAUCCGUAGCUGGUCUGAGAGGAUGAUCAGCCACACUGGAACUGAGACACGGUCCAGACUCCUACGGGAGGCAGCAGUGGGGAAUAUUGGACAAUGGGCGCAAGCCUGAUCCAGCCAUACCGCGUGGGUGAAGAAGGCCUUCGGGUUGUAAAGCCCUUUUGUUGGGAAAGAAAAGCAGCAGGUUAAUACCCCGCUGUUCUGACGGUACCCAAAGAAUAAGCACCGGCUAACUUCGUG